rnacentral:rRNA from 1 species
CAUUCACGGAGAGUUUGAUCCUGGCUCAGGACGAACGCUGGCGGCGUGCUUAACACAUGCAAGUCGAACGAUGAACCACCUUCGGGUGGGGAUUAGUGGCGAACGGGUGAGUAACACGUGGGCAAUCUGCCCUGCACUCUGGGACAAGCCCUGGAAACGGGGUCUAAUACCGGAUACUGAACCACUUGGGCAUCCAGGCGGUUCGAAAGCUCCGGCGGUGCAGGAUGAGCCCGCGGCCUAUCAGCUUGUUGGUGAGGUAACGGCUCACCAAGGCGACGACGGGUAGCCGGCCUGAGAGGGCGACCGGCCACACUGGGACUGAGACACGGCCCAGACUCCUACGGGAGGCAGCAGUGGGGAAUAUUGCACAAUGGGCGAAAGCCUGAUGCAGCGACGCCGCGUGAGGGAUGACGGCCUUCGGGUUGUAAACCUCUUUCAGCAGGGAAGAAGCGAAAGUGACGGUACCUGCAGAAGAAGCGCCGGCUAACUACGUGCCAGCAGCCGCGGUAAUACGUAGGGCGCGAGCGUUGUCCGGAAUUAUUGGGCGUAAAGAGCUCGUAGGCGGCUUGUCGCGUCGGUUGUGAAAGCCCGGGGC